rnacentral:rRNA from 1 species
AAAAGAACUUUGAAGAGAGAGUUCAAAAGGGCGUGAAACCGCUUAGAAGAAAACGGACGGAGCUGUCGAGAGCCAUUGAGAAUCAGCCGCGCAAUAAUCGCGAACGUGUCUCAGUUUAUUGGAACGCAAGUCCAGCUGAGGCGCUUUAUGUAAAGUAGCGAUUGCGAGGUGCAUUUCUCGAUGGUAAGCACUGCGACCGAUAUGAACGGCCGGCGAAGCGAUUCGGUUGAGGUCGACGCCUGUAACAGGGUGUCGUUACCAGUCUUGUCGUCUUGUGUAUCGUCGGACCAUACGCAUAUCGAUAGCCUGUUGUUGAACGUGUCGGCGUAAAUUAUGCUCGUUCGAUCGACGGAUUGCUGGUCGAUUAUUAUGAUACUUGCUCGCAGGUGUUGUUUUAUCAUGAUCAGUAUUUGAAGUCGACGACGACGCUAACGACACGCUGGCAUCAGCAGUGUAUGUGUCAGCCACCCGUCCGACCCGUCUUGAAACACGGACCAAGGAGUCUAACAUAUGCGCGAGCUAAUGGGUGAAAAACCCAAAGGCGCAAUAAACAUAAACGCUGUCUUUGGCAGCUAAGAUACGAUCCGAGUGUCUCGCACGCGGGCUCUCGGCGCAGUAUCGUCCCGUCUAAACCGCAUGUCGGUAGGGCGGAGAAAKAGUGCAUACGUUGGGACCCGAAAGAUGGUGAACUAUGCCUGAGCAGAGCGAAGCCAGAGGAAACUCUGGUGGAGGUUCGUAGCGGUUCUGACGUGCAAAUCGAUCGUCAGAC